AAAUAGAUAUGAUUUGUAUUCCUAGCUUGUUUUAUUUGUGUUUGUUCAAUCUUCAAUGCACUAAUUUCAUAGGAUCUCCUUGCUUUUGUAACUGUUAUUUUUAUUUUUUCCUUCCAUAAUACUCCUUUCUUGCUUGUAACUUCUCAAUUACUAUUUAUCCAAGUUUUUAAAAAGAAUUUAAAUUUUAUCUUUGUUAAGGGAUACACAAUGAGACGUUUG
rnacentral:misc_RNA from 1 species